rnacentral:rRNA from 1 species
UACGGAGGGGGCGAGCGUUCUUCGGAAUUAUUGGGCGUAAAGCGCACGUAGGCGGCCGAAUAAGUCGGGUGUGAAAGCCCUGGGCUCAACCCAGGAAGUGCACUCGAUACUGCUCGGCUUGAGUAUGGAAGAGGGUUGCGGAAUUCCCGGUGUAGAGGUGAAAUUCGUAGAUAUCGGGAGGAACACCAGUGGCGAAGGCGGCAACCUGGGCCAAUACUGACGCUGAGGCGCGAAGGCGUGGGGAGCAAACAGG